rnacentral:rRNA from 1 species
UACGUAGGUGGCAAGCGUUGUCCGGAAUUACUGGGUGUAAAGGGAGCGCAGGCGGGAAGCCAAGUCAGCUGUGAAAACUACGGGCUUAACUUGUAGACUGCAGUUGAAACUGGUUUUCUUGAGUGAAGUAGAGGUUGGCGGAAUUCCGAGUGUAGCGGUGAAAUGCGUAGAUAUUCGGAGGAACACCGGUGGCGAAGGCGGCCUGCUGGACUGCAACUGACGUUGAGGCCCGAAAGCGUGGGGAGCAAACAGG